rnacentral:rRNA from 1 species
ACGGGUGAGUAACGCGUGAGUAACCUGCCUUCAAGAGGGGGAUAACAUUCUGAAAAGAAUGCUAAUACCGCAUGACAUAUCGGAACCACAUGGUUUUGAUAUCAAAGAUUUUAUCGCUUGAAGAUGGACUCGCGUCCGAUUAGUUAGUUGGUGAGGUAACGGCUCACCAAGACCGCGAUCGGUAGCCGGACUGAGAGGUUGAACGGCCACAUUGGGACUGGGACACGGCCCAGACUCCUACGGGAGGCAGCAUG